rnacentral:rRNA from 1 species
ACCUGGUUGAUCCUGCCAGUAGUCAUAUGCUUGUCUCAAAGAUUAAGCCAUGCAUGUCUAAGUAUAAGCGACUAUACUGUGAAACUGCGAAUGGCUCAUUAAAUCAGUUAUGGUUUAUCGUACAA